GUAGAGCAUCUGACUUUUAAUCAGAGGGUCGACAGUUCGAGCCUGUCACGGCUCA
rfam:Lactobacillus saniviri JCM 17471 = DSM 24301 NODE_123, whole genome shotgun sequence.